rnacentral:rRNA from 1 species
AAUCAACGCUGGCGGCGUGCCUCAGACAUGCAAGUCGAACGAUUAAGACUUCCUUCGGGAAGUGCAUAAAGUGGCGCACGGGUGAGUAACACGUAAGUAAUCUACCCUCGAGUGGGGAAUAACGUUCGGAAACGAACGCUAAUACCGCAUAAUGCAGCGGCAUCGCAAGAUGACAGUUGUUAAAGGAGUAAUUCGCUUGAGGAGGAGCUUGCGGCAGAUUAGCUAGUGGGUAAGGUAACGGCUUACCAAGGCUACGAUCUGUAUCCGGUCUAAGAGUACGGUCGGACACACUGACACUGAAUAACGGGUCAGACUCCUACGGGAGGCAGCAGUCGGGAAUUUUGGGCAAUGGGGGAAACCCUGACCCAGCAACGCCGCGUGAAGGAUGAAGUAUUUCGGUAUGUAAACUUCGAAAGAAUGGGAAGAAUAAAUGACGGUACCAUUUAUAAGCUCCGGCUAACUACGUGCCAGCCGCCGCCGUAAUAC